rnacentral:rRNA from 1 species
UCGCCCUUAGAGUUUGAUCCUGGCUCAGGACGAACGCUGGCGGCGCGCCUAACACAUGCAAGUCGAACGGAGUCAAGAGGAGCUUGCUUUUCUUGACUUAGUGGCGAACGGGUGAGUAACGCGUGAGUAACCUGCCCUGGAGUGGGGGACAACAGUUGGAAACGACUGCUAAUACCGCAUAAGCCCACGGCCCGGCAUCGGGCUGAGGGAAAAGGAUUUAUUCGCUUCAGGAUGGACUCGCGUCCAAUUAGCUAGUUGGUGAGGUAACGGCCCACCAAGGCGACGAUUGGUAGCCGGACUGAGAGGUUGAACGGCCACAUUGGGACUGAGACACGGCCCAGACUCCUACGGGAGGCAGCAGUGGGGGAUAUUGCACAAUGGGGGAAACCCUGAUGCAGCGACGCCGCGUGGAGGAAGAAGGUUUUCGGAUUGUAAACUCCUGUCGUUAGGGACGAUAAUGACGGUACCUAACAAGAAAGCACCGGCUAACUACGUGCCAGCAGCCGCGGUAAAACGUAGGGUGCAAGCGUUGUCCGGAAUUACUGGGUGUAAAGGGAGCGCAGGCGGACCGGCAAGUUGGAAGUGAAAACUAUGGGCUCAACCCAUAAAUUGCUUUCAAAACUGCUGGCCUUGAGUAGUGCAGAGGUAGGUGGAAUUCCCGGUGUAGCGGUGGAAUGCGUAGAUAUCGGGAGGAACACCAGUGGCGAAGGCGACCUACUGGGCACCAACUGACGCUGAGGCUCGAAAGCAUGGGUAGCAAACAGGAUUAGAUACCCUGGUAGUCCAUGCCGUAAACGAUGAUUACUAGGUGUUGGAGGAUUGACCCCUUCAGUGCCGCAGUUAACACAAUAAGUAAUCCACCUGGGGAGUACGGCCGCAAGGUUGAAACUCAAAUGA